rnacentral:rRNA from 1 species
UACGGGAGGCAGCAGUGGGGAAUAUUGGACAAUGGGCGCAAGCCUGAUCCAGCCAUGCCGCGUGAGUGAUGAAGGCCUUAGGGUUGUAAAGCUCUUUCGCCGGUGAAGAUAAUGACGGUAACCGAGAAAGAAGCCCCGGCUAACUUCGUGCCAGCAGCCGCGGUAAUACGAAGGGGGCUAGCGUUGUUCGGAAUUACUGGGCGUAAUACUACUACUAAUC